UGGAGAGUUGUCUCAUUGACACUAACACCACAUCUUCCUAUAUCUAAUGAUUGUUUUUAUACUAGUAGUUGUCAUUUACUUUGAAAUAGGUAUCAGUAACAACGAAAACUCUAAUAUCUGUAGUUUCUUUUUUUUUGAAGGUGUCCCGGUCUGAUUUUUUGUUAGAAGUUUGUCUGCCUUGUUUCGAAUUGAUUAUUUGCGCCUUUUUCAAUUGAUGUUAUUCUUAAUGUUGUUUUAUGUUGUACUGAUACAUCCCUGUCCCUUUGUGGUGUACCAGUGUGUGUAUUUUUCCAAAGUCGAGAAGCUGUUAAAAAGAUGUUUUCGUUGUCGCUGUUUAUUAUAUUUGUUUUUCGUUGUUUAGUUUUACAUGAUUCAGACAUUUUUUUCACGACUGAUUUUUUUUACAUUUAUAUUUUUGUGGUUUUUAUAACUAACAAAGUGGAAUGGGUUUUAGUCGACGAUGGAGGCCGUACAGGUACUCAUACGUAGGAGUUGUUUCUUGUUAUUUUCUUUGUUCUCUGGUGGAUAUUUGUCUCAUUAGUAAUAAUUUUUUAUUUUUAUUUUUGAUUCGAAAUUCAUGGAAGAAUCUAAAGUAGGCGAAACGCGGGUAAGAUAUCAUACGUCAAGUACAUUUGAU
rnacentral:lncRNA from 1 species